GACGAACGCUGGCGGCGUGCUUAACACAUGCAAGUCGAACGGGUCUGCCCUGUUUUUUGCGGGGUGGGUCAGUGGCGAACGGGUGAGUAACACGUGAGUAACCUGCCCCUCACUUCUGGAUAACCGCUUGAAAGGGUGGCUAAUACGGGGUGUUCUGGCUGUGCCGCAUGGUGUGGCUGGGAAAGAUUCACUUUUGUGGUGUUUUGGUGGGGGAUGGGCUCGCGGCCUAUCAGCUUGUUGGUGGGGUGAUGGCCUGCCAAGGCUUUGACGGGUAGCCGGCCUGAGAGGGUGGGCGGUCACACUGGGACUGAGAUACGGCCCAGACUCCUGCGGGAGGCAGCAGUGGAGGGUAUUGCACAAUGGGCGGAAGCCUGAUGCAGCGACGUCGCGUGAGGGAUGGAGGCCUUCGGGUUGUGAACCUCUUUCGCCGGUGAAGAAGGUCCUGCUCUUUGUGGUGGGGUUGACGGUAGCCGGGUUAUGAAGCGCCGGCUAACUACGUG
rnacentral:rRNA from 1 species